rnacentral:rRNA from 1 species
GACGAACGCUGGCGGCGUGCUUAACACAUGCAAGUCGAACGGUGAAGCGCCUUCCUUUUUGGUGGGUGUGGAUGAGUGGCGAACGGGUGAGUAACACGUGAGUAACAUGCCCCCUUCUUCUGGAUAACCGCAUGAAAGUGUGGCUAAUACGGGAUAUUCUGGGUCUGUCGCAUGAUGGGUCUGGGAAAGAUAUUGUUUCGGUGGGGGAUGGGCUCGCGGCCUAUCAGCUUGUUGGUGGGGUGAUGGCCUACCAAGGCGGUGACGGGUAGCCGGCCUGAGAGGGUGGACGGUCACACUGGGACUGAGACACGGCCCAGACUCCUACGGGAGGCAGCAGUGGGGAAUAUUGCACAAUGGGCGCAAGCCUGAUGCAGCGACGCCGCGUGAGGGAUGGAGGCCUUCGGGUUGUGAACCUCUUUCGCCAGUGAAGCAGGCCUGCCUCGUUUGUGGGUGGGUUGACGGUAGCUGGAUAAGAAGCGCCGGCUAACUACGUG